CCCUAUAAGUGUUUUUUAACUGAAUUAUAUUUCUUGUCAUGCAUGACCCAAGUAAGCAGCUUCAUUUUUCAGUUAUUUUGGAACUUGAAAGUUCACAUAAGGAAGUCGGAUAGCCUUUUAGGCAGCUUCUGAUAGAACUUAUUCAAAAAUAGAAAAUCAUUUCAGAUUCAUCACAAUUGUUUUUUUUACUGGUAUUGUGGCGAUACUUACAUACCUGAACUCUAUACCAUACACUUGUAAACACACGAAAUUUGAACUGCAUGCUCCUGCGUUGUGGCCUGUUGCCGUACCGCAGCGCUGCUAUAGUUACCUGCUAAAGCUAUGUUAACUUUACUAAUUUACAAGUGUACAAUGUACAAGCAUAGGGCUCUCACACAGCAGCUUCUGGUUCGAUUCCGAUUCGUGAUAUAUACUUUGUUUUAUUUUGAACUUAAUAUUGAUUGAUUUGGUAUUUUUUUUCUAUAACACUUUUUAUUAGGUUUUUUUUACUAAAAUUACACUGAAGUCUUUCAUAGACCAUCAAGCUACUGAAAUGACCUUCUCGGAACUUCAAAGUGCAGACAAAGUUCCGAUUAGCAUCUUAAGCAGCUUUCAAGCUUAAGGUAGUACCUUCGGAACCUCAUUUGAACUUCGUGGUAGUUGAAAGUGUGUUUUGUCAUGGGAAACGGAACUUAAGGUUACUUGGGGCAUUCCCAAUUGAACAAGCCCAGGUAACAAUUUGAUGCUGUAUAAACAUUUCUAUAACUAUUUUAAAGCAGCCUUCAUUUUUAAAAAGCUGAUCACAAGAUUUACACUCCUUUAUUCAGCUUCUAAACAUCUAAUUUUGAUGAUUUAAUUCAACCUUUAGCUGAGUUGAGGUUCAUUAACAGGAAUAUUUAAAGCUUAAUAUACGCUUAAUCAGUAAUCAAUCAAAUUUAUUUAUAUUUACUAUUUGCGACUUUCUACUUCCAGAAGAGAUGUUAAGGAUGUUUAGGGUCCUUGAACCCAAUAAGCCAAUUUUGGGUAAAUACAACUUUAUUCAAAUUUGAGUUAAAUGAGGGGGUUUGGGUUUACCUACUUUUGAGUAUAUUUUUAGCUGGAGGUAAAGACAAUUUACCUAGUGAGUUUAUUCAAAUUUUAGCUUAUUAGACCAAACUAUAAGUUCGCCGGUUCCGUAUAUGUAUUGCUGAGGUUGAACAAGUCAUACUUCAGACCAGUAUUCAUCCGCAUUGUGCUCAGCCACUGACACCAUUAACCAGCUUUUUUUUAUCUGUAUUAACGAGAUUUUUAGCCCUAGGCUAGUUCAUCUCGCGACCCACGCUUUACUUCCUUUCCGAAGGAAGAACUCACAUUUAGUGAGUUUGUCGGGAGUGGGAUUCGAUUCCAGAUCCUCGGCGUGAUAGUCACGUGCUUUAACCAUCACACCGGGUCCGCUUCACAGCUAAAGUUCAACUAAUACUCUUACUGUUCAGCAUUGAUUGUUACUUGGGAUAGCCUUCUGCAGCUCAUAGUCAUUGUGGUACAGUGGUUUUUCGAUAUAAUCACGGUAAAAAAAAUUACCGCGAAUUUAACGAAACCGUGAAUUUGACGAAAUGAGAAAUAACUGUAAAUUUAAUAUUAAAAUCGACAAAAUACAAAAAUUUUUAAUCAUAAUUUACAAUUUUUAACAGUUUUGGUAAUGUGCCAGUGAAUGUAUUGCUCGGGCGCUGUCUGUCCGUACACUACGUAGACUCAUUUUGGGUCAUCUCGAUCCCCCUCCCUCCUCAUAGGCUUUUGUCCUUACUAGAUUAGCAGUAGCAUUUGUUUCAAUGAACGAAACAAUGGAAACUGAAUCAGACAUCAUGAACACUUGAGGUGAAGAAAUAGCAAAUGGAAAUGUUGUCAAAUGUAUUGUGGCAUUUCUUAUAAAAUUGAUUCGUCAAAAGAUUCAGUUACAGAAGUGAUUUCUACCCAGCGUCACAUGGUUCGAUGGGCUUGUUUGGCCAAAUAUUUGUCACGUCUAAUGGGACCUUUACUUAUAACAUCUUUUAUGAUCAAUCACUUUAACAGGCAAUGUUUGACCUGUAAUGUUAUACAUCGGUAACUACAAUGAAUAGCGUUUCGGCAAUUUGAAAUGGCAUUGGCUUAAAAGAUUGAAUAGGCUUAAGGUGCUCGUACAUUCUUUGCCCAGACGCCAAAUAUUUGACCACUUUUGACAGACACAUUUUGGCCAGUUGUUUGGAUCUGUAUGUCCGUAUUCGUUUUUCGAUAGUGACAAAUAUUUUUGUUUACCCAGUACACGUUGGUUAAAAUUUAACUGUCAAAAGUGGUUAAAUAUUUGCCAUUGGUCAAAUAGUGAAAUGUUAGCUUUAGGCACUUCAGGAACAAAAACGUGUUAGGUAGUUUUUUAUCCCUUUCGUGACGAACCAACACAAUUAUGCUGUUGAGCAACAACAUUUUUGCGUAAUUUUUUCAACUGUUAAGUAUUUGAUUUACCUGAUGUAAAUUGUUUUAUAUAUCCCUUUCGUGACGGAGCGCAAAAAAGUGAAAUUUCCAUACAAAUUGCUCAACUUUACCUCUCCAGAACUCUAAGAUUUCCCAACAAAACAACAAUUGUUAUCCCUCAUUUGAAAGAAGCACUCCUAAUCUAUUCAUUUCUAGCUUUGAGUACUCAGAUAAAGUGAAAAUAACAAAAAUACGACAGACAAAACUUUUUCAUGUUUUACGGGUUUCGUCCCCUUUUUGUUCAACUUGUUGUGGUAAAUCCCACAUACAACAUAAACAAAAAUUCCUUUGUACACAUACAAGUAUUUUUUUUUUCGUUCGGGUGAGCCACUGCGACCAGUAUGUAGAUCUUUUGUGGCAUUACCCGUAGCCUUAGUAUUUAGUGCAUGUCGUACUACUCCAUUGUCAUUGAGAGGCAAUGAAGCAUCGAUUUCUGUACAGUUCCUGUUUUGUUAUCCCAGAGGUGCAAGAAAUCGAUUGCGAUGAAAAGGUACCGUUAUCAUAGAGAUCUCAGCCACUCAGUGUAGCCUCGAGUGGGCAAAGUCCGAUUCUUUAACUCAGUAAGGCAGAAUAAAUGCAAUUUUAGAAACUGUCACCAGUAACAAGGACUUUGUACCAUGAAUCCUUAUUACCAAAACACAUUACCCCAACUUGACAAACCGGAUGUCACUAGGGUUCGGUUUGGUAGAUCUUGAACCGUAACGCAACACAUAAAGGCGAUCUACCUACGUUACGGGCUCCGUUAAAGAUCGAGCAUAUUUUAAACCCCCUCAACCAUUCAUCCAUCAGCACGGGUCGCCUGACACCUUGGAUUGGGGUUCCCUUUUUAGUGGACUUUUACCCCCGGAACAGGUGAUCCGCAGUGUUAUUCUUAGCCAAUUGAGACAACCGCUACCGACACUACACAGCUACAGGGCAUGGCCAAAAUGUUUGGGAUAGGCAACUUUUUUUUCUCUCACAAAAAAGUUCAACAUGCUAUAACUUUUCAUAGAAUGCAUCAAAAAAUCUCAAAUUUUGACUGUUUGACAACCUACUAUAUGUGCAUCAUUGGUACAAAUUUGGGCUCAAUUGAUUAAUCUUUCGCAAAGUUAGAACCGUUCGGGUAAAACACUAUUUUUUAGACAACUCAUUUUUGAGCUGUCAUAUCUCGGAAACCAGUGAACCGAAUCGAAUGAAAUUUUGAACGUACACUAACAAUAUACAAAUGCUUCACAAACUAUUAAAACAUAGAUAAUUUUUGAACGUUGAAAAAAGUUAUCAUGGGUUGACACUUUUUGGAUUUUUCUCGAAAAAAAUGUAAUUUUUUUACGUCAAUGUCAAUAAAUUUUAGUGUUGAUGUCCAAAGAUUGUGCACUUCUAUUCUCACGUUAUCUUUAAUCAGAUAUAUUAGAGUCAAUUUAGAUUAAAGGAAGAACACAUGUAGUAAUUUUUGUGUGAUAUUGUAAAAUUAACUUAUUUUCCUACAUAUGGAUAAAAAUUUCAACCCGGCAUAACUUAAUUCGCCGUGAGAAAAUAUUACAUUUUAUAACGUUGUAUUAAGUAUCAAUAUUAGGCCUGUCCAGCUUUUCAAAAAUGUUCUCUGAUUCUCAAGUCCAGCCCCAUAUUUUGAUUGGCAUCCUAAAAGAAGUAACUGGUCAAAAUUUCAGCCAAAUCCAUUGAAAUUAAGAGGUGCAUCAAAUCAAUUUUGUGUUUUUCGACUAUUUUUGAACUUCAAAAAAUCAUAACUACUCUAAAACAUGUCAAAACUUAAUUCUUUCGGCAGAAAUUGAAAGCUAUACUUGUCUGCUACAACUUCUCCGAACAACGUGUGCCAAUAAAAUUGAAGGAAACAUGUGUAAUUAUCACAUUUGUAAUCAGAAAAACGUUAAAAAGUUGAUUUUUUGAUAGAUUUUGUUCUGGAAUACCCUAAUAUACGUAAUAAGUUGGAUUUUUCAAAACGGCAUCAUAUUCUCCAAUGUUUUUUGGUUAUUUGCUUCUUUGGCACCAAUGCUGUAGGAGUUGAGCAAAAAUUACUAAAAUUCGUGAAAGCCAAAUGUGGCCUAAAAACUAGCUUUUCGGGUGCAAUCACGCUUUGGCGCGCAAAAAGUGGCAUCGCGUCAGCACUGAUAUGAUAGCCAACACCUGUCAUCGCGCUUGUUUGUUAUCAACGGUGGUAGGGGGUAGCCAAGGCAAACUACUAGGAAGCAAAGCUACUACGUUCAGUACAAUUUCGCGCCACAAC